rnacentral:rRNA from 1 species
GAUGAACGCUAGCUACAGGCUUAACACAUGCGAGUCGAGGGGAAACGGCAUCGAAAGCUUGCUUUUGAUGGGCGUCGACCGGCGCACGGGUGAGUAACGCGUAUCCAACCUGCCCAUCACUUGGGAAUAACCUUGCGAAUGUAAGACUAAUACCCAAUGAUAUCCCACGAAGGCAUCGGACUGGGAGUUAAGAUUUAUCGGUGAUGGAUGGGGAUGCGUCUGAUUAGCUUGUUGGUGGGGUAACGGCCCACCAAGGCAACGAUCAGUAGGGGUUCUGAGAGGAAGGCACCCCACAUUGGAAACGCGACACAGUCCAAAAUGCUACGGGAGGGAGCAGUGUGGUAGACUGGGGAAUGGGGGAGGGUCUGAACCAGCCAAGUAGGGUGCAGGAAGACGGCCCUAGGGAUGGUAAACUGCUUUUAUAAGGGAACAAUGUGGGUAACGUGUGACUUUUUGAAUGUACCUUAUGAAUAAGGACCGGCUAAUUCCGUG